rnacentral:rRNA from 1 species
GGAAUCUUGCGCAAUGGGCGAAAGCCUGACGCAGCGACGCCGCGUGAGGAAUGAAGGCCUUCGGGUUGUAAACCUCUGUCAGGGGGGAAGAACCCGGAGUCGGUGAAUAACCGGCGCCGCUGACGGUACCCCCAGAGGAAGCACCGGCUAACUCCGUGGCAGCAGCCGCGGUAAGACGGAGGGUGCAAACGUUGUUCGGAAUCCCUGGGCGUAAAGGGCGCGUAGUCGGACUUGUAAGUCAGGAGUGAAAACUCGGGGCUCAACCUCGAGCCUGCUUCUGAAACUGCGAGUCUUGAGGACCGGAGAGGAAAGUGGAAUUCCUAGUGUAGCGGUGGAAUGCGUAGAUAUUAGGAAGAACACCAGUGGCGAAGGCGACUUUCUGGACGGUUCCUGACGCUGAGGCGCGAAAGCUAGGGGAGCAAAC